AAACUUCUGGGGCUCUGACCUAGUUAUUAGCAGUUUUUAAAGCUUGUCAAGUGAUUCCUACAUGCAGCCAAGAAGGGGAAUAGCUUUGCUCUGUCAUGCUCCUUCUAUGAUGCAUUGACUGACCACAGGCCCAAAGCAAUGGGGCUGAUGAACCAUGGACAGAAACCUCCAAAAUGGACUCAGACCUAAGGCCCAUGAUGCACACAGAGGGGACCGUCCUCUGGUGAAUUCCUUACCAGUUCUACAACUGUGUAAGGUCAGUCUCUGCAAUAAUUCCCUUCUUCCACAUUGCACAUAGUGGUAUCACUUGCCUACUGAAACUUAACCCAACAUACAUCAUUUCUAUUUCUUUGAACCAAAACCUGAGCAAUAUAACUUACAAGGUAAUGAAUGUUCUUUCUAUUUUUUUUUUUAACAGACAG
rnacentral:lncRNA from 1 species